rnacentral:rRNA from 1 species
UUCCAGACUCCUACGGGAGGCAGCAGUGAGGAAUAUUGGGCAAUGGCCGGAAGGCUGAACCAGCCAAGUCGCGUGAGGGAAUAAGGCCCUAUGGGUCGUAAACCUCUUUUGUCAGGGAGCAAAGGCGUCCACGAGUGGACGAAAGGAGAGUACCUGAAGAAAAAGCAUCGGCUAACUCCGUGCCAGCAGCCGCGGUAAUACGGAGGAUGCGAGCGUUAUCCGGAUUUAUUGGGUUUAAAGGGUGCGUAGGCGGAAUAUCAAGUCAGCGGUAAAAAUUCGGGGCUCAACCCCGUCGUGCCGUUGAAACUGAUGUUCUUGAGUGGGCGAGAAGUAUGCGGAAUGCGUGGUGUAGCGGUGAAAUGCAUAGAUAUCACGCAGAACUCCGAUUGCGAAGGCAGCAUACCGGCGCCCUACUGACGCUGAGGCACGAAAGCGUGGGUAUCGAACAGGAUUAGAUACCCGAGUA